GCAUGGGUUUGGAUUUAUGGCAGGUCCGUCCCCCUGGGCCUCUCAUAGUGUUCCAUGUCAUAGCAAGCUGUGGCCCCGAACCAUUGCCUGGCGAUGUCAGUGGGCUUUGUGCACUGAAGCGGGUCACAUAGUG